CAGUAGCCGCGGUAAUACAGAGGGUGCGAGCGUUAAUCGGAUUUACUGGGCGUAAAGCGUGCGUAGGCGGCUUUUUAAGUCGGAUGUGAAAUUCCUGAGCUUAACUUAGGAAUUGCAUUCGAUACUGGGAAGCUAGAGUAUGGGAGAGGAUGGUAGAAUUCCAGGUGUAGCGGUGAAAUGCGUAGAGAUCUGGAGGAAUACCGAUGGCGAAGGCAGCCAUCUGGCCUAAUACUGACGCUGAGGUACGAAAGCAUGGGGAGCAAACAGGAUUAGAUACCCCAGUAGUCCCUGUCUCUUAUAC
rnacentral:rRNA from 1 species